UCUUUUGCUUCUGAAGCACACAGAUUCUAAAUGGAAAAAUACAUAUUUUUCUUAUUCUUCUGACAGAUAAUUUCUUCAUAGCUGCAGUGUCUCUGAGUGGGAAUUUCAGUCCAAGUCAACAUUCUUACAUGAUGCCUGCUUGUUUUCUGUAAGAAAAAAAAGAAAUUGCCUUCCUGCAAAAUAAUUUCUGGCAUGAUGAAAAACCUGAGAGGAUUGAGAAGAUGCUCUUCAGCCACCUCCUUGCCUGGACACUUCGGUAUUAUCUGUCGUUGCUGAUUUGCUUUCUGUAGAGCCUGUCAGAUUCUAACAUCUCUGUUGCAGUGGGAUCACACAUCAAAAGACUUUUACCCUCACUUGCUGAAUAUUUUUGGAAUUUAACAACUGCCUUUCUCUUUAAGUUUUGGUUUUGUCAGCCAGCUUCGCAAACUCUACCUUGCUGAUGUAGGAAGCAAAACACCAACAGUAGCUAAUCAGUCAGAGUCAGUCCUCUGUUCUGAUGGCCCUCACAGCUGAUAAACAGGAACCUUAUAUCUGGGACCACAAGUUUCUUUGGCAGAGGUGGAAGGGCUCAGCUGCAGAAUCUCAUAAAAGCCUUUUGCUGGCAUGGAGUACCCAAGAAAUUUACUCUUCGCUGCUAAAUUUCAGAGACAGAGAAGCACCAGGAGUAAAAUCGCAGGUCUUAAACUGAAAUGAAGUAGCAGGAGUUCUGCUUUUAACACAUGGGAGUGAAUUAUUAUUCUCUGAUGUGAAUAAAACUCUCAGCUGGAGCAGUGUGUAAAGUACUAAGUAUCAUCCUUGCGGGAAUGUGAAGGAUAUCCAGAAGAAAAGAAAUCCAACAGGUUUGGAAAACAGUGAAAAUCAUGAAAGAAUUCCACUCUGAUAAUUCAUACUAUUUCAGCCUGAGGCUGCCAAAUCCACCUGGACAUAUCCACAUUUUAGGAUCAAUUGUGAGUGCUCUUCCAUCAUCAGAGAGCGUGUGGAGAGUGAUACAUGCAACUAACACUCCGUGGGAGCAGAGAACUGCCAAGAGCUGGUGCAAACACAGGAAGCUGCCAGCAGCCUUCUCUCUGUCUAUGAGAAGUACUAUAAAGCAGCAGGGAAUUGGAAUCUUUUGUCUUCUCAGCCUUCAAAUACUUCAAAUUAUGGAAGGCAGCAGGUCUAGUGUUAGGACUUCCUCUCUUCCUCUCACCUUAAAACUCACUGUCCAGGAAAGUAGAAACUGAGUUCCAUAAAUAUAUAAUGAGAAAAAGAAAGGUUGCUGUCAACUCAUAUGUGUUGUAGUGGUUAAUGGCACUAUAGAUCUCAAGUGCUGACUUCCUUUUGGAAAACACUGUUACUUUUGUCAGUUGUGCUUCCGUACUCAGCCUUUUCCUCAAAAAGGCCAGUGUGUAGAGAAGGUUAAAAUUAGUAAUAAUAAAAUAAAUUAAUCAAUCUUUAAAAUGCUGAAA
rnacentral:lncRNA from 1 species